GACGAACGCUGGCGGCGUGCUUAACACAUGCAAGUCGAACGGAAAGGCCCUGCUUUUGUGGGGUGCUCGAGUGGCGAACGGGUGAGUAACACGUGAGUAACCUGCCCUUGACUUUGGGAUAACUUCAGGAAACUGGGGCUAAUACCGGAUAGGAGCUCCUGCUGCAUGGUGGGGGUUGGAAAGUUUCGGCGGUUGGGGAUGGACUCGCGGCUUAUCAGCUUGUUGGUGGGGUAGUGGCUUACCAAGGCUUUGACGGGUAGCCGGCCUGAGAGGGUUACCGGCCACAUUGGGACUGAGAUACGGACCAGACUCCUACGGGAGGCAGCAGUGGGGAAUAUUGCACAAUGGGCGGAAGCCUGAUGCAGCAACGCCGCGUGCGGGAUGACGGCCUUCGGGUUGAAAACCGCUUUCGCCUGUGACGAAGCGUGAGUGACGGUAAUGGGUAAAGAAGCACCGGCUAACUACGUG
rnacentral:rRNA from 1 species